rnacentral:rRNA from 1 species
UUGGAGGGCAAGUCUGGUGCCAGCAGCCGCGGUAAUUCCAGCUCCAAUAGCGUAUAUUAAAGUUGUUGCAGUUAAAAAGCUCGUAGUUGAAUUUCGGGGUCAGUAGGUCGGUCGUGCCACUGGUAUGAACUGGUUUCACUGAUUCCUCCCUCUUGUAGAACCGUGAUGCCAUUAAUUUGGUGUUGCGGGGAAACAGGACUGUUACUUUGAAAAAAUUAGAGUGUUUAAAGCAAGCUAACGCUUGAAUACAUUAGCAUGGAAUAAUGAAAUAGGACGUCUGUCUUAUUUUGUUGGUUUCUAGGAUGGACGUAAUGAUUAAUAGGGAUAGUUGGGGGCAUUAGUAUUCAAUUGUCAGAGGUGAAAUUCUUGGAUUUAUUGAAGACUAACUACUGCGAAAGCAUUUGCCAAGGAUGUUUUCAUUAAUCAAGAACGAAAGUUAGGGGAUCGAAGACGAUCAGAUACCGUCGUAGUCUUAACCAUAAACUAUGCCGACUAGGGAUCGGAUGAUGUUAAUUUUUUUAAUGUACUCAUUCGGCGCCUAGGGAAAC